rnacentral:rRNA from 1 species
GAUGAACGCUGGCGGCGUGCUUAACACAUGCAAGUCGAACGGUGAAAGAGAGCUUGCUCUCUGGAUCAGUGGCGAACGGGUGAGUAACACGUGAGCAAUCUGCCCCUGACUCUGGGAUAAGCGCUGGAAACGGCGUCUAAUACCGGAUACGAGCUGCGAAGGCAUCUUCAGCAGCUGGAAAGAACUUCGGUCAGGGAUGAGCUCGCGGCCUAUCAGCUAGUUGGUGAGGUAACGGCUCACCAAGGCGUCGACGGGUAGCCGGCCUGAGAGGGUGACCGGCCACACUGGGACUGAGACACGGCCCAGACUCCUACGGGAGGCAGCAGUGGGGAAUAUUGCACAAUGGGCGGAAGCCUGAUGCAGCAACGCCGCGUGAGGGACGACGGCCUUCGGGUUGUAAACCUCUUUUAGCAGGGAAGAAGCGAAAGUGACGGUACCUGCAGAAAAAGCACCGGCUAACUACGUG